CCUACGGGAGGCAGCAGUAGGGAAUCUUCCGCAAUGGACGAAAGUCUGACGGAGCAACGCCGCGUGAACGAUGAAGGCCUUCGGGUCGUAAAGUUCUGUUGUUAGGGAAGAACAAGUGCUAGUUGAAUAAGCUGGCACCUUGACGGUACCUAACCAGAAAGCCACGGCUAACUACGUGCCAGCAGCCGCGGUAAUACGUAGGUGGCAAGCGUUGUCCGGAAUUAUUGGGCGUAAAGCGCGCGCAGGCGGUUUCUUAAGUCUGAUGUGAAAGCCCCCGGCUCAACCGGGGAGGGUCAUUGGAAACUGGGAAACUUGAGUGCAGAAGAGGAAAGUGGAAUUCCAAGUGUAGCGGUGAAAUGCGUAGAGAUUUGGAGGAACACCAGUGGCGAAGGCGACUUUCUGGUCUGUAACUGACGCUGAGGCGCGAAAGCGUGGGGAGCAAACAGGAUUAGAUACCCUGGUAGUCCACGCUGUAAACGAUGAGUGCUAAGUGUUAGAGGGUUUCCGCCCUUUAGUGCUGAAGUUAACGCAUUAAGCACUCCGCCUGGGGAGUACGGUCGCAAGACUGAAACUUAAAUGAAUUGACGG
rnacentral:rRNA from 1 species